GUUCCUGGUAUUAAAGUGUUCAUUUCUUCAACAGCAACAGCCAUACUCCAAGAAAAAAGGUGCCAUCUUUCCAAGCCUUAUCUCCCAUAGUAACAACCAACAGUGAGGAGUUCAACGUCAACAGCAAAAGGCAGAGCCCAGGAUGCCUCUCUACUUGGAGGGUGCUGACUGAAAACUUAGCUUUGCCCUCCCAAUAAACCAGCUCAUUUUGGAGCACGGCGCUUCCUUCGGUUUGCCUUUGUCCAAAGAGAGGAUUUUUUCAAUUAGGGUAAGUGCUGCGUUAUCUGGUUGACUGCAUCACUCUGAAUGUUCUGCAUUGAAAGUUCCCAAUGAGUAAACUGACAUUCUGCACUGCAGCAGCUCAGACAGUUUGUGGUGUCAGGAGGAGAAAAGGAGCAGGGGAGGAG
rnacentral:lncRNA from 1 species